rnacentral:rRNA from 1 species
UGGGGAAUAUUGCACAAUGGGCGCAAGCCUGAUGCAGCGACGCCGCGUGGGGGAUGACGGCCUUCGGGUUGUAAACUCCUUUCGCUAGGGACGAAGCUUUUUGUGACGGUACCUAGAUAAGAAGCACCGGCUAACUACGUGCCAGCAGCCGCGGUAAUACGUAGGGUGCGAUCGUUGUCCGGAAUUACUGGGCGUAAAGGGCUCGUAGGUAGUUUGUCGCGUCGUCUGUGAAAUUCCGGGGCUUAACUCCGGGCGUGCAGGCGAUACGGGCAUAACUUGAGUACUGUAGGGGUAACUGGAAUUCCUGGUGUAGCGGUGAAAUGCGCAUAUGUCAGGAGGAACACCGAUGGCGAAGGCAGGUUACUGGGCAGUUACUGACGCUGAGGAGCGAAAGCAGGGGUAGCGAACAGG